rnacentral:rRNA from 1 species
AUGGCGUGGAGGCGGCUGGCGAGCGGUGCCUCUAUGGCGGCGCAUCUCCGGCGGGGCGUCCCCUCUCCCUCCUUCGCCCCCGCCCGCGCCUUCUCCGCCGCCAGCCCUACCCUUCCUGCCAGGCACGCGUUGCAGGGCAUCUGGUCGCGGUGUUCGAGCUCGGCCCCCGGGUUUCAGGCUCGCGCCCCCAUGCUCCGAGCUCUGCUGGCCGCGAGGGUGUCCCCCGGAGUUCGUCCGAAGCUUCCAGGUCUACUGAGGGGAUUUGGGACGGGCGGCACCGCAAUUGCUGUCAUGCUCUAUCCCACAAAGGUUGCUGAGGCACAAGAGCGACCGGCAAAAAGCCCAUCAGAAGAUAUCACUGUGCUCUCACCAUAUUCGAAACAAGUUCUUAGGAAAUUCUGGAAUUUGGUCAGAAAAUUUCAGCUGCCUAUCGGUUUGAUUCUUUUGAUUGUGUAUGGUUGGCGGAAACCAAUGGUUCUUGCCAUCAAUACAUUGCUUCUUCUCUACUCUACAAGGCCGGACCCCUAUUCCAUAUACUUGUUUCUUCAGGAGAUUCAUCAAGGGAAGGUGCAGCAAAAUCCUGCAUUGUGGAAGGAGGAGGUCAUCCAGACAAGAAAAGUUGAUACCGAAGACUACAAGUUCUUUUCUAUUGGGACGGUCGAAUUAAAGGACAGAACAGUACUGCAUGUGAUUGGAAUUCUGGGCAAUUGGUGGAUCUAUCAUGUGUCGUAUGACAAGAGAGUGGAGCAGUUGUACUUGUAA